GGGGGCGUAAAUGGUUUCGACGGGGAUAUAGAAGGAAGAUAAGCGAGUCGUUGUCGCCAAACAACGCAAAAAGUGGCAAAAACAAUAAACGCAAACGAAAAUAAUUUAGCAUACGCUGCUUAAUUGCAGCUGCUUGUUCCACUUAACCGACCUGUAGGUUAGGUUGGGGCAUCAUGAAAAUCAGGGAACGAUUUAAGGGCUUCUUCGACCUUAAGUUGUACAAUUGAAGAUAGCUGAGAUUACAGCCUGGACAUAGGCGGUAGUCAAGGCAAAACAUAAAUUAUGUCCUGCACUCGGAGAAAGUCUUGUGGAAAUAUUUUCGGACGUGGGUUCGACUCCCACCGCCUCCAUCA
rnacentral:tmRNA from 1 species